rnacentral:rRNA from 1 species
UACGAAGGGUGCAAGCGUUACUCGGAAUUACUGGGCGUAAAGCGUGCGCAGGCGGUUGUGCAAGACCGAUGUGAAAUCCCCGGGCUUAACCUGGGAAUGGCAUUGGUGACUGCACGGCUAGAGUGUGUCAGAGGGGGGUAGAAUUCCACGUGUAGCAGUGAAAUGCGUAGAGAUGUGGAGGAAUACCGAUGGCGAAGGCAGCCCCCUGGGAUAACACUGACGCUCAGGCACGAAGGCGUGGGGAGCAAACAGG